rnacentral:rRNA from 1 species
CUACGUGCCAGCAGCCGCGGUAAUACGGAGGAUGCGAGCGUUAUCCGGAUUUAUUGGGUUUAAAGGGUGCGUAGGUUGUUCGGUAAGUCAGCGGUGAAACCUGAACGCUCAACGUUCAGCCUGCCGUUGAAACUGCCGGGCUUGAGUUCAGCGGCGGCAGGCGGAAUUCGUGGUGUAGCGGUGAAAUGCAUAGAUAUCACGAGGAACUCCGAUUGCGAAGGCAGCUUGCCAUACUGCGACUGACACUGAAGCACGAAGGCGUGGGUAUCAAACAGGAUUAGAUACCCUGGUAGUCCACGCAGUAAACGAUGAUUACUAGGAGUUUGCGAUAUACCGUCAAGCUUCCACAGCGAAAGCGUUAAGUAAUCCACCUGGGGAGUACGCCGGCAACGGUGAAACUCAAAGGAAUUGACGGGGGCCCGCACAAGCGGAGGAACAUGUGGUUUAAUUCGAUGAUACGCGAGGAACCUUACCCGGGAUUGAA